UGAUUUGGAGGUAUAUCACUGCGCAGGGAGCAGUGUAGCAUUUACACAGCAGAGCUGUCAAGGUGGCAGGUGAUGCACAGGAGCCUCUGUGGGCACCCGUGCUGGCAGGGUGACUGCCCCAGCCCCUCCACCCCUGGCUGCUGCCCUGCUCCUGGCAGAGACCCUGGCUGGGGCAUCUCAGAAUGGCAACGUCACAAGCAAAAGCUAUGUCAAGAGGUUCCAGCUCCAGAAGGGAUGGUCCUGCUGCUCUCACCCAAUAAAAAAAGUCUGUGAGAGGAAGAGUCAGAGACCCAACACAAUUUCUCGGGAGAAAUCCCAAUUUGCCACUGUAGCCCUUGGUAUUCAAUGGAUCACAUCAAGCAGAUUGUUAUCAAGACAGAAGUUACCAUUUGGGAAGGAGAGAAGAUCCUUUACUUCAUAAAAUCUUGCAGAUAUCAAAGCCAGCAGGAGACUGUAGCCACGACUCUUCUAAAAAAUUUCUCAAAAUUAAGUUACUUG